UGUCACAGAUUCCGUGCUUGUUAAGCCUGUAAAUCCCACUCCACGUGACCAACUUUGGGUUUCCAAUAUCGACUAAGUUAUAGUUUGAUUCCAAUCUGCAAUUGCUUAGGGUCCGAUGUGGGUCAGUUACUGAGAAACGCGCUUUCUAAGGUGUUAGUGGAUUCUUAUCCGCUGGCGGGCAGACUGGUAGAAUUGCUGUUGACUGUAAUGGCGAGGGCGCUGUGUUUGUGGAAGCCGUGACAGACUCAUGAAUCGAUGAUUUUGGGUAAUUCACCUCUCCUUCACAAUUCACGACUUUGGCUCCCUCUGCUACUUACGAGAAUGGCUUCACUAAAUCUCCUCUGCUUUUGAUUCAGGUAAUCAAGUUCAAAUGUGGAGGGGUGGCUAUAGGAACGGGGAUACAGCAUAUCUUAUCAGAUGGUACAUCUUCUUUACAUUUUGUGAACAGCUUGUGUGAUCUAGCUCGGGGAUUGAAGUUACAUUUACUUCCUCUUCGAGCUCGAAAUCCUCCCAGAGUGGGCUUUUCUCACCAAGAAUUUGCACCAACUCCAACCCUUCUCCACCAAGAUAAGGAUGACAGAAAAUAUUAGUCUGCAAGAAGAGGUAAAAAUGGCAUCAUUUGGAAGGUUCAAUCUUAGUGAAGAGCAAGUUAAUGCCCUAAAAUAAAAGGCAAGCGAGAACCCUCUUAAUAAGGCGUACUCCACCUACCUAAGCCUGGCAGCCCAUAUCUGAAAAUGUUGUAUCACAGCGCAAGGUUUAGCAGAAAAGCAAAGAUGCAAACUCUACAUUCCUGUGGACGGGAGACACCGUUUAUGCAGACCACCAUUGCCUCGUGGGUAUUUACCUGAAUCAUUUACAGAUCUUUAUGAUAAGGCUUCUAAGUUAAAUUUACCUGAAUCAUAAGCAGAGGAGAUGUAGUGAUACCAUUCUCAUAAGUAGCAGAGGGAACCAAAGUUGUGAGUUGUACAGUAGAGAUGAAAUACCCAAAAUCAUCGAUUGUUAGAGUCGUUCACUGCUUCCACAAACAGAGCGCUCUCGCCAUUACAUUCAACAUCAAUUCUACCAACCAGAGGUGUCAACAUCAGUCUGCCCGCCAGCCGAUAAAAAUCCACCAACACCUUAGAAAACGCGUCUUUCAGUAUUUCAGCCACAUCGGAAUCUCCAUUGGGAUAUACCUUUUGUAAAUAUAAGCAAUUGCAGAAUGGAAUCUAACAAUAACUAAAUCAAUAUUGGAAACCCACAGUUGGUGAUGUGGAGUGCAAAUCAAAUUACAGGCUUAACAAGCACCGAAUCUGUGACAGUGAUUUAUCUUUUGAAAAAUAAGGUGCACAUCUCCCUAUCUUGGUAGCUGGCAAUGGUUUUGUGUGUUGUUCUGUACAGAAGGGAGUGUGCCCACUGCAGGUUUUAUUUCCAUCGGGUUGCAGUCUGAUAAAAAAAAAAAAUCUCUUAUCUUUCUGUCCUUUUCAAACAAAACUAUUAUGCACAGAAGGAAAAGAAGAGCAAACAUUCUUUGGCAGGCAUUUAGGUAUCAUUUCAUUCCAAAAUUUAGAGAUUUUUUUGGCGGUUUUUGCAGCUGCAUUACUCGUAAGUUAUUUCCUCCCAUUUUACCCAUCUUGUGGUAGAUAUUCAAAGUCAUGGCUUCCUUCAACUUUAGAGUUUUGCUUGUAUUUUUGUUUUGUCACACUAGGUUAUAGAUCUUCUUUGAUUGUUGCCUGUAAAUUUGUAGUGGUUGUUGAUGUAAAUUUUAGAAUUUAUUGUGUCUUUGAUCAAGCUUCUCAUAAUUUACAAAUAUAUUUUUGUUCAUGGAUUGUGUUUUAAGCUACUCAAUAGAUUUUUCUUGUUGUCUUGAAUAUAUUUGAUACGAAGUCACAUUGUGGAAUCCUUUAUCAUGUCUCGUACGAAAUCACAAUAUAGAAUUCUUUGGCAUCAUCUUUGUAUCUAUGGAGUCUAGAGAUUCUAGUUGCCUUUAAUCAAUUCUUCUUCAGAUAUCAAAGUUACCAAGUUACUAGAUUCAGCAUAUAUGCACAUCUUAUCCACACUAGAUUCAUUCUAUGUAUUAUAAAUACACCAAUUUUAACUCUUCUUUUACUUCCACACCUAGAUUAGGAUCAAUAGUUAAGAUGUGUCUUCUUUUACUUCCACACCUAGAUUAGGAUCAAUAGUUAAGAUGUGUUUGAAUGUAGCAUUUAAACAGUUUGAUUUUUAUUUUUGUUUUAACAAUCACACCCAUUACCAAACAUUACUGCUACAUGUCACAAACAUUAAAAAAUAUAUUGCUAUAAAAUCAACACUUUACAUUCCACAAACAUUAGAAAUCAAAGACACACUGUUGAUGUUCACCAAAAAUCAGCAUAGGGGCACUCAAACAAAGGUAUAGGAACCCCCAAGGCAUUCGGUGAGAGAUACAAGGUCCUCUUGCUUGAUCGAAAAUGUUUUCAUUCAUUGCAAGGCUAUAUGAUUUUUUAGGUCAUAAAAAAAUAUUACUUUAAGGAAAGAUGAUUGAAGGAACUCUAGAACUUCUUUGGUUGUAUUGUUUGUUCCACAAGUGAAGAACUUAUUCAUUGUUUGUCCCACAAGUGAAGAAGAAAAAGCUCAGUGCACCCGGUUUCAAUAAAUGGGAUUUAGAGAAAACUACAAAACCAAACGCAAAAUUUCUUAUGCGUGCACCCAAUUCUCAAUGUUCAUUAGGAUUACUAUAGUGAUUUUUUUAUUACCAAUGGGUUGUUUUUUCCCUUUGUAUUUUUAAUGAUUCUGAUAUUCUUCUUUGACAAGUCACUUCCAACUAUGAUCAAUCAAAACAGAAUUUUAUUAUCUUAAUUGUUUCUGACAAUGUCUUUUUUGAAUCUUCUAAGAAGUCAUGCAUUUGUAAUCCAUGCCACCAUUAUAAGAUAUUUGCUAACUUAUGUGUCUUUGAAUGUGCCUUCUUUAAUCUUUUGAAUUUAUCUCAAUCAAGAGGAAUUCAAAUGGACUCACAGUUGGGCAUGCCUUUAAGGUUCACUCUUGCUAUGCGACGAUUCAGGAGACAAUCAUUGAAGUUUAAUGUUCAACUUUUACUGAUAAAAAUUUAUCUUCCUGAUUUCUUUUAGGAGUUCCUAUGAUAGUUGUGAUGACAAUGAAUUACUAGUCCUGCUUUUUAGUAGAAUCACAAACAUAUACACUUUUGACAUUUAUCUUUGUAAUAAAAGCAAUUUAUCAGUGAGAUAUAGCAUUAGAUUUAGUUGA